GAAUAUGUGCAUUUUGCCUGGCUGUAGAAUCUACUUUAGUCCAUUUUCCAUUGCCAAUUACACAAUCCAACAGACCAGGAAAAUUUUAAAUAAAAAGAGGUUGAUUUUGGCUCAUAGCUUUAGAAGUUCAAGGUACAGGAGCCACAUCUGGUGAUGGCCUUCUUGUUGGCAGAGUCUGGGACAGCACAGAGUGAUACGUGGCAGGAGACAGGAAAUACAGGGUCUUGCUAAAUUGCUGAGACUGGCCUUGAACUUUCCAUCAUCCUCCUGCCUCAGCCUUAUGAAUUGCUGGGAUUACAGCAGGCUUCCUUAGACACUGCUCAAAGAAAGGAAGAAAAGGGGGUGACAUCUCAUUAUGGUAAAGUGGGGUUAUAAAUCCAGAUUCCCUGCUUGGCUUCCAUUGAAAUCUGAAGAGGACUCUUGAUUAUUACUGGGUGCUAUUUGAGGUCCUAACUUUCAACAAGGCCUCCCUCUGACAUCAUACUGCAGAAUUAUCCUGGAUGCUGUGGGACAAUGGAGAAAUGGUAUUCUCAGGGCCACCCAGAGUGGUCUAUUCAUGAGAAGGUAUUUUGAUCACAGUGAUGCAAAACCUGCAUAAAAUAGAGCUCAAGUUAAAACUUUCCUGAGUUCUCUGGGUGGACCCUGCAUCCAAUGACAAGUGUCCCUGCAAGAGACACACAUAGAGAAGAGAGGAGGCCAUGGGAACACAGAGGCAGAGAUUGGAUCCAGCCAUGAACCAAGGAAUACUGGUAGCCAUCAGAAGCAGGAAGAGCCAUGACUGCAUGGUUUAUGCCAUGAUGGUCUACUACCAGAAUGUGCUUCCUUGAUACAGACCUAAAAGUAAAAGGGCCAAACAGUCCUGGACUGGAACCUCCAAAACUUGUGAGCCAAAAUAAGCCUCUUCCUUCUGGACCUCAGUUCUGGAGGCUGGAAGUCCAAAAUCAAGGUGCCAUGCUCUUCUGUCAUAUGAAGACACAGCAAGAAGACCUAAAAGGACCCUAAAAUGCUCCACCUUCCAACACUGUAGCAUUGGAUUUUUUUUUUUUUUUUUUUUUU